CCUACGGGGGGCAGCAGUGAGGAAUAUUGGUCAAUGGACGAAAGUCUGAACCAGCCAAGUCGCGUGAAGGAUGACGGCCCUAUGGUUUGUAAACUUCUUUUAUAGGGGAAUAAAGCGAGGCACGUGUGCCUUUUUGCAUGUACUUUAUGAAUAAGGAUCGGCUAACUCCGUGCCAGCAGCCGCGGUAAUACGGAGGAUGCGAGCGUUAUCCGGAUUUAUUGGGUUUAAAGGGAGCGUAGAUGGUUUGUUAAGUCAGUUGUGAAAGUUUGCGGCUCAACCGUAAAAUUGCCAUUGAUACUGGCAGUCUUGAGUACAGUUGAGGUAGGCGGAAUUCGUGGUGUAGCGGUGAAAUGCUUAGAUAUCACGAAGAACCCCGAUUGCGAAGGCAGCUUACUAAACUGUGACUGACACUGAGGCUCGAAAGUGUGGGUAUCAAACAGGAUUAGAUACCCUUGUAGUC
rnacentral:rRNA from 1 species